GUCAGCUCAGGGAUUCCGGGGGUCAGCUCAGGGAUUCCGGGAGUGCCUAACUCUGCUUUGCUUACAUGUCCGUCCAUUCCUACCGGCAAAACAAAGUAGAGAAGGUCGUCUCCCUUAGAGCCCCUCAGGUGCCCAAGGUGACAGACAAGAGCAGUUAAGAAGACACCGAGGUGGGAAUGAGAAGCCGAAGCAGGAGGCAGUUUGACUAGAUCAUUCUGCUGGUGAACGCGGCUGUGUGUGUGUGUGUGUGUGAGAAAUCGACAUGGGAGCAGGCGGCGUUAUGCAGUUCCUGGGCGCCCUUCUGCCCCAGUCAUGGACGGCGGAGGAUGAGAAGAUGCCGUUGGCGGCCUCGAGAGGACAAAGUGCCAGACAGUCGGCUAACGUGAGGAUGACAGAUUUUGAUAUCUAUGAAAUCAGAGCCAGCCUCUUAAGUGAGGGUUGCUAGCUGUUUCUAUCCUCUAUCAAAAUGAACAUUCAUACCAAGAAUUAUCUUUUGCAGCUGGGCAUGGUGGUCCACGCCUGUAACCACAGCUAUUAGGGAGCUUAAGGCAGGAGAUUUCCAAGUCAGAUGCCAGCCUGGGCAAACUUAGCAAGCUCAUCUCAAAAUAAAACAAAAAGGGUUGUGGUUCGGUGGUCGAGUAUCUGCCUGGCAUGUAUGAGUCCUGAGUUCAAUCCCUAGC